UACGUAGGGGGCAAGCGUUGUCCGGAAUCAUUGGGCGUAAAGCGCGUGUAGGCGGUCCGGUAAGUCCGCUGUGAAAGUCGGGGGUCGAACCUCGGAUGCCGGUGGAUACUGUCGGGCUUGAGUACGGAAGAGGCGAGUGGAAUCCUGGUGUAGCGGUGAAAUGCGCAGAUAUCAGGAGGAACACCGGUGGCGAAAGGCGGGUCUCGUGGGCGAGUAACUGACCGUGAGGAGCGAAAGCGUGGGGAGCGAACAGG
rnacentral:rRNA from 1 species